rnacentral:rRNA from 1 species
UACGUAGGGUGCAAGCGUUGUCCGGAAUUAUUGGGCGUAAAGAGCUCGUAGGCGGCUUGUCACGUCGGAUGUGAAAUCCCGAGGCUCAACCUCGGGCCUGCAUUCGAUACGGGCUAGCUAGAGUACUGCAGGGGAGACUGGAAUUCCUGGUGUAGCGGUGAAAUGCGCAGAUAUCAGGAGGAACACCGGUGGCGAAGGCGGGUCUCUGGGCAGUAACUGACGCUGGAGGAGCGAAAGCCGUGGGGAGCAAACAGG